rnacentral:rRNA from 1 species
CCUACGGGAGGCAGCAGUGAGGAAUAUUGGUCAAUGGGCGAGAGCCUGAACCAGCCAAGCCGCGUGAAGGAUGAAGGCCCUACGGGUGGUAAACUUCGUUUGCCAGGGAGCAAUUGGGUCCACGCGUGGGCUUAGCGAGAGCACCCGACGAAAAAGCAUCCGCUAACUCCGUGCGAGCAGCCGCGGUAAUAGGGAGGAUGCGAGCGUUAGCGGGAUUUAAUGGGUUUAAAGGGUGCGUGGGCGGAAUAUCAAGUCAGGGGUAAAAAUUCGGGGCUCAAUCCCGUCGUGGCGUUGAAACUGAUUGUCUUGAGUGGGCGGGAAGUAUGCGGAAUGCGGGGUGUAGCGGUGACAUACAUAG